rnacentral:rRNA from 1 species
AGCAGCCGCGGUAAUUCCAGCUCCAAUAGCGUAUAUUAAAGUUGUUGCAGUUAAAAAGCUCGUAGUUGAAUUUCGGGAUCAAAGGAUCGGUCAUGCCUUGGUAUGUACUGGUUUUAUUGGUUCUCACCUUCUAAAGAACCAUAAUGUCAUUCAUUUGAUGUUAUGGGGAAUUAGGACUGUUACCUUGAAAAAAUUAGAGUGUUUAAAGCAGGCUUACGCUUGAAUACAUUAGCAUGGAAUAAUGAAAUAGGACAUCAGAUUCUAUUUUGUUGGUUUCUAGGAUCGAUGUAAUGAUUAAUAGGGAUAGUUGGGGGGCAUUAGUAUUCAAUUGUCAGAGGUGAAAUUCUUGGAUUUAUUGAAGACUAACUACUGCGAAAGCAUUUGCCAAGGAUGUUUUCAUUAAUCAAGAACGAAAGUUAGGGGAUCGAAGACGAUCAGAUACCGUCGUAGUCUUAACCAUAAACUAUGCCGACUAGGGAUCGGAUGAUGUUAAUUUUUAUAAUGACUCAUUCGGCACCCU